rnacentral:rRNA from 1 species
AGUAGUGAUAUGCUCGUCUUAAAGCUUAAGCCAUGCACGUCUAAGUGCAGACAACAAACAAAAGUGAAACCGCAAAUGGCUCAUUAUAACGGUUAAUAUUUACUAGGCCGAUUACCCGUAAUGGAUAACUAUGGCAAUUCUAUAGCUAAUACAUGGUUCAAAAGCCUCUUGCUAUUUAGCUCGAGGCGAACUUAUUUGAAAAAAACCUGACGGUUCGCUUGCGAACCGUCUACAAAAGUUGAUAUGAAAUAACUGACUGAUCGCAAAGUCUUGCACUAGCGACAGCCUAUUCAAAUGACUGAUCUAUCAACUAAGGAUGGUAAGGCAUGUGCUUACAAUGGUCCUUACGGGUAACGGGGAAUCAGGGUUCGAUUCCGGAGAGGGAGCCUGAGAAACGGCUACCACAUCCAAGGAAGGCAGCAGGCGCGCAAAUUACCCACUCCCGGUACGGGGAGGUAGUGACGAUAAAUAACGAUACGGGACUCAUCCGAGGCCCCGUAAUUGGAAUGAGAACAGUUCAAAUAAUUUUACAAGGACCUAUUGGAGAGCAAGCCUAGUGCCAGCAGUCGCGGUAAUUCCAGCUCCAAUAGCGUAUAUUAAAAUUGCUGCGUUUAAAAAGCUCGUAGUCGAACUUGUGUCCCGGGCCGCUGGUGCAUCGCUCGCGGUGUCAACUGGUGUGCUGCGGGACGUCCGGCCGGUGGGAUAGGUCCUCUCGCUUGCGGGGGGGCUCCCCGCAUUUGCUCUGCUAUGUUGCUCUUCACCGAGUGACUAGUGGGGCCGGCACGGUUACUUUGAACAAAUUAGAGUGCUCAAAGCAGGCUUCGUGCCUAUAUAAUGAUGUAUGGAAUAACUUAAGAGGACCUCGGUUCUAUUUUAAAGGUUCAUAGAGACCGAGGUAAUGAUUGAAGGGGAUGGCUGGGGGCAUUCGUAUUGCGGCGCUAGAGGUGAAAUUCUUGGACCGUCGCAAGACGUACUAAAGCGAAAGCAUUUGCCAAAUAUGUUUUCAUUGAUCAAGAACGAAAGUUAGAGGCUCGAAGGCGAUCAGAUACCGCCCUAGUUCUGACCAUAAACUAUGUCAACUGGCGAUCCGCCGCGGUUCCUCCGAUGACCCGGUGGGCAGCCCCCGGGAAACCAAAGUUUGAGGAUUCCGGGGGAAGUAUGGUUGCAAAGCUGAAACUUAAAGGAAUUGACGGAAGGGCACCACAAUCAAUGGAGCCUGCGGUUCAAUUUGACUCAACACGCGAAACCUCACCAGGCCCGGACAAAAUAAGGAUUGACAGAUCGAGAGCUCUUUCUUGAUUUUUUGGAUGGUGGUGCAUGGCCGUUCUUAGUUGGUGGGGUGACUUGUCUGGUUAAUUCUGAUAACGAGCGAGACUCUGUCUUACUAAAUAGACGUACAGACAUACACGAGGUCCGCGUCCAUGAUCAAUUCUUUUGCAAAAUUGAGUUGUGUCGUGGUGCGCGCGAUACUUGCUGUCGGCGUUAUAUAAACUCUUCUUAGGGGGAUGAGUUGUGCAUAGCAGCACGAAAUAGAGCAAUAACAGGUCAGUAAUGCCCUUAGAUGUCCUGGGCCGCACGCGCGCUACACUGAAGAAGACAACGUGUUUUCCCUGACCGAGAGGUCCGGGUAAUCCGUUGAACCUUCUUCGUGCUAGGGAUUGGGGCUUGCAAUUGCACCCCAUGAACGAGGAACUGAUAGUAGGGGCGAAUCAUAAGUUCGUUUCGACUAAGUCCCUGCCCUUUGUGCACACCGCCCGUCGCUACUCCCGAUUGAGUGAAUUAGUGAGGUCUUCGGACUGGUUCUCGGCGACGUUCUGCGUCCGACCGUUGUAACUCGGGAAGAUGACCGAACUUGUUCACUUAGAGAGAGUAAAA